UGAGUACGAGAUGCUACGGCAUCGAAGCAGUCUAUGUCAUACUUCCAAGAAAAGCUUGCAAUGUCAUAAACAAAUAAUGCCUGUACCAUAACCGACACAGGUGGGUAGGUAGAGUAUACUAAGGGGCGCGAGAUAACUCUCUCUAAGGAACUCGGCAAAAUGACUCCGUAACUUCGGGAGAAGGAGUGCCUUAUUUUUAUAAGGUUGCAAUAACAAGAUCCAAGCAACUGUUUACCAAAAACACAGGUCUCCGCUAAGUCGUAAGACGAUGUAUGGGGGCUGACGCCUGCCCAGUGCCAGAAGGUUAAAGAAGUUGGUUAGCAUUAGCGAAGCUGAUAACUGAAGCCCUGGUGAACGGCGGCCGUAACAAUAACGGUCCUAAGGUAGCGAAAUUCCUUGUCGGGUAAGUUCCGACCCGCACGAAAGGCGUAAUGAUUUGGAUACUGUCUCGGAGAGGGGCUCGGUGAAAUAGACUUGUCUGUGAAGAUGCGGACUACCUGCACCUGGACAGAAAGACCCUAUGAAGCUUUACUGUAACUUGAGAUUGAAAUUGGACUUUAUCUGCGCAGUAUAGGUGGGAGACGUUGAAAAUAUUCUUGCGGGAAUAUUGGAGUCAUCAGUGAGAUACCACUCUUAUAAUGUUAGAUUUCUAACUUUGUAUCAUUAUCUGGUCAAAGAACAGUUUCAGGCGGGCAGUUUGACUGGGGCGGUCGCCUCCCAAACGGUAACGGAGGCGCACAAAGGUUUCCUCUGAACGUGUAGAAAUCGUAUCUAGAGUGUAAAGGCAUAAGGAAGCUUGACUGUGAGACCUACAAGUCGAGCAGGGACGAAAGUCGGUCUUAGUGAUCUGACGGUGCUGAGUGGAAAGGCCGUCACUCAACGGAUAAAAGUUACUCUAGGAUAACAGGCUGAUCUCCCCCAAGAGUUCACAUCGACGGGGAGGUUUGGCACCUCGAUGUCGGCUCAUCGCAUCCUGGGGCGGUGGUACGUCCCAAGGGUUGGGCUGUUCGCCCAUGAAAGCGGUACGCGAGCUGGGUUCAGAACGUCGUGAGACAGUUCGGUCCAUAUCCGGUGUAGGCGUUAGAAUAUUGAGAGGAGCCUUCUUUAGUACGAGAGGACCGAGAAGGACAUACCUCUGGUGUACCAGUUAUCGUGCCAACGGUAAACGCUGGGUAGCCAUGUAUGGAGAGGAUAACCGCUGAAAGCAUCUAAGUGGGAAGCCCACCUCAAGAUAAGUAUUCUCA
rnacentral:rRNA from 1 species